rnacentral:rRNA from 1 species
AACGUAGGACGCAAGCGUUAUCCGGAAUUACUGGGCGUAAAGCGCGUGUAGGUGGUUAUGCAAGUCACUUGUGAAAGCUCCCGGCUAAACUGGGAGAGGUCAGGUGAGACUGCACAGCUAGAGGGCAACAGAGGGGUGCGGAAUUCCGGGUGUAGUGGUGAAAUGCGUAGAUAUCCGGAGGAACACCAGAGGCGAAGGCGGCACCCUGGGUUGUACCUGACACUGAGACGCGAAAGCAUGGGUAGCGAAC